rnacentral:lncRNA from 1 species
CUGGAGUCCUUUGUACAAACUACUCUAGCGUUGCUUUACUUUAGCACUGCCAAUAUACAGGUUUCAGUGUUACAGGGUUUAGUUUCAGCGUUAUAGUACAUGGUGAAGGUAGGUGCGGAGCUCCAGAUAUCAUCAUCUCCAAUAUCCGUUAUCUAAUUAUUUCUCAAUAACGCCUUUAAUGUCAUGAGCUCUGGAGAAGUACUCUCUAAUAACAGCUGGAGAGUUACCUUAGCUGAGUCAGACAGCAAAUUCUGACACAGUUUCCAACCAAUUUUGACAGUCUGCGUGCGGAAACGGUUGGACCGUUAAACCUUCCAGAAACAUACGUGAAUAGCCCAAAGUAUCUGAAUGUGUGCAUGUAGAACUACAGAGCUCCCCUGAAAAAAAGUGUAAAAACCAAGUUCUGCUUUACAACACAAGACCAGACACAAAGCAUAGAGAUUAAAUAAAACCUGCUGAUUUAAAAGAAAAAUUUUGGCAUAAUUUUAAGUGCAAAAUGAAGAGAGUCUUUCGUAAGAACGAGUAUCUUUCCUUCACUCUCUUCAGAAAAGCAAAAGCAUCUUAGGAAGUCACUUUGAUAAAAAGUAGGCAUAGUAAACACAGAGCCCAAGACCUUCAUGAGACUAAGUGAGAGUCCAAACUCUUUUAGCCUUAAGCAAGUAUUCCAAAACAGCUUUAACAAAUUAAACAGAAGGAAAAAACUGGCAAAAAGCCACACAAAUCUCAUUCCCAGAACAUUCAGCAUGUGGAUGCUGGAUGGUGGCUCACUUCCUUGGAGUAUCCUUGCCUCUUUCUUGUGCCCCCCCCCCCCCCCGCCGCUUCUGCUGCUGCAGGGGGGGAGAAGUUAAGCCAGGGGAAACUUUUCAAUCCCUUCCCCAGGCCGCUGCUGCCUCCUCCUUCCACAUAUUUUUCCCCUCGGAGUUUUAUUGUGUCUGAAUUUUCUCUCUCUCUCUCCUCUUCUGUCUGUCCACAGUUCAGGUUUCUGGGGUAAACAGGGUUUAGGAUGGUGCUAGGGAUAUUUGGGAGAAGGAGAACUCUAGUGGUGUCUGCUGGAGUUGCU